rnacentral:rRNA from 1 species
GAUGAACGCUAGCGAUAGGCUUAACACAUGCCAGUCGAGGGGCAGCACAAGGUAGCUUGCUAUCUGGGUGGCGACCGGCGCACGGGUGCGUAACGCGUAUGCAACUUGCCCUAUACAGGAGGAUAACCCGUCGAAAGACGGACUAAUACUGCGUAUGCUCACAACUUGGCAUCAAGUGGUGAGGAAAGAAAUUCGGUAUAGGAUAGGCAUGCGUCCCAUUAGCUUGUUGGUGAGGUAACGGCUCACCAAGGCAACGAUGGGCAGGGGAACUGAGAGGUUUAUCCCCCACACUGGUACUGAGACACGGACCAGACUCCUACGGGAGGCAGCAGUGAGGAAUAUUGGUCAAUGGGCGCGAGCCUGAACCAGCCAAGUCGCGUGAAGGAUGACUGUCUUAUGGAUUGUAAACUUCUUUUAUACGGGAAUAACAAGAGUCACGUGUGACUCCCUGCAUGUACCGUAUGAAUAAGCAUCGGCUAACUCCGUG